AGCUCUGAGGUGCGUUGCAUGUGAGAUUGCAAAUCUCAAGGAGCAGACUAACGUUUGCCGGGGCUU
rnacentral:tRNA from 1 species